CGCGUAGGCGGACAGUUAAGUCGGGGGUGAAAGCCCGGGGCUCAACCUCGGAAUUGCCUUCGAUACUGGCUGUCUUGAGUGCGGGAGAGGUGUGUGGAACUCCGAGUGUAGAGGUGAAAUUCGUAGAUAUUCGGAAGAACACCAGUGGCGAAGGCGACACACUGGCCCGUAACUGACGCUGAGGCGCGAAAGCGUGGGGAGCAAACAGGAUUAGAUACCCUGGUAGUCCACGCCGUAAACGAUGAGUGCUAGUUGUCGGCAUGCAUGCAUGUCGGUGACGCAGCUAACGCAUUAAGCACUCCGCCUGGGGAGUACGGUCGCAAGAUUAAA
rnacentral:rRNA from 1 species